UACGUAGGGGGCAAGCGUUGUCCGGAAUCACUGGGCGUAAAGCGCGCGCAGGCGGUCAUCUACGUCUGGGGUGAAAGCUCGGAGCUCAACUCCGGGAUUGCCUUGGAUACGGGAUGACUUGAGGAUCGGAGAGGCAAGGGGAAUUCCACGUGUAGCGGUGAAAUGCGUAGAGAUGUGGAGGAACACCUGUGGCGAAGGCGCCUUGCUGGCCGAUUUCUGACGCUGAGGCGCGAAAGCGUGGGGAGCAAACAGG
rnacentral:rRNA from 1 species